rnacentral:lncRNA from 1 species
AAGGUACAAUUCUGCGAGCACGAGCAAUGAUUCCUGAAACAAUCAAGCACGUUAGAACUGAUACCUGCAAAAUAAAACACAAGUUAUCAUGAUCAUGCAUGAAUGCAGCGUUUAUCCACAUGAGGAACACUUUGUCUCUCGAUCCUGGUUUCAUCGAGACAAAUAGUAAUUCGGCAGCAAUAUUCUGACAUUCAGCAGUUGAUUUCAUCAUACAGAUCAG